UCAGUGGAUCAGCUAAGUUUUAAGCUAUUGGGCUCAUAACCCAACAAUGGUCUAUCCUCCUCUGAA
rnacentral:tRNA from 1 species